rnacentral:misc_RNA from 1 species
ACUAGAUAGCGCUUACUGUACUGUUAAUUUUGAUAGCCUCUCUACAACUUGUUCGUGAUGGAACACAUGGUAAAAAUCGAGUGAAAAAUAGUGGAUCUGAUAGAAUAUAGAAUGAUGCUGAAGUAACAGUGAUGUAUUAAAACAAAAGUUAGGAUUGUAUGCUGUGUUUCAAAUUCGUUUGCAGUAGAAUUCUUUUGACGAAAAUUCUUUUAAUGAAGAAAGAAUUUAAAGGUGUCUGGAUUUUAUUCGAUGAAACGAGGAUGUGAUGAUGAUGGAAAUCGAGGUACGGUGGUUGUAGAAGCUGGAAUAUUUUUCGAUCGGUAAGUCGAGGCAACGAACAUAUAUUUACUUAUAUUUUCCUGUGUAUAUAUUUAUGAUUAUGUAUCUUCUUUUUAUACAUCACGCUUUGUGAUUAUUUCUGAUACACAUAUAACUGGUUAUUAUUAUUUGACGUAACUAAUCGAUGGACUAUUUCUUAAGUAAUUUAAAUGAAAGAUACGUACAAUUUUUAAAGCAAU